rnacentral:lncRNA from 1 species
GUGGCCACCGUGUUUGCAGCAACAGCGGCGGCCACACUAGUGGCGCAUGGUGAAGAAACGCCGUGUUACUUCGUGUUCGGAGACUCUGUCUUCGACAAUGGUAACAACAAUGCGUUAAAUACCAUUGCAAAGGUCAACUAUUUACCUUAUGGUAUAGAUUUUCCCGAAGGUCCAACCGGUCGGUUUAGCAACGGACGUAUCAUUCCAGACGUUAUCGGUUAGUUUUUAACCGGUUUUCUUAAUCUUAAUUUAGUUCAAUCCAAUUGUUUAUUCGAUUAUUACAUGUUGUGUACAUGUUAUGUAUAUACCCGAUCAUGCGGGAUUCUUUAUAAAAAAUUGCUAGUUUACAAAUUAAGUUUUCAAAACGUUUUAUGCAUAAUAUAUGAUUAGAUUAUUACCGUAGUGUCACGUCACUUUCUUGAUUUUAGUCAAUGUUUUGAAAACCAGACCAAACACCUAUUCAUUAUUAUUGGGUGACUCCGUCACUGGUCUGACAAGUUCAAUCAGAGUCUCAAAGUUAUAUAUAUAUAUAUAUAUUUUAUAUAUACAUUUUAGUAUAAAAAGUUCUGAAUAUUUUUGUUAUAGCUGAACUAGCGGGUUUCAAUGAUACCAUUCCACCAUUCGCCGGAGCACCACCAGCACAAGCUAACAUCGGACUCAACUAUGCUUCCGGUGGCGGCGGAAUCCGGGAAGAAACCAGCCAAAAUUUGGUGACAACCUAAAGAACAUAAUACUUUUAUAUCAUUCGAAAAUAACCUAACUAAAUUUAUGUGUAUAUAUUUAUAGGGUGAAAGAAUCAGUUUGAGAAAGCAAAUAAACAACCACCAGUCGGCGAUUAUAAACGCGGUGGUGCCACCGAGUCAGCUACGGAGAUGUCUAUAUACAAUCAGCAUCGGAAGUAAUGAUUACCUCAACAACUACUUCUUGCAACCUCCUACCCCAGCUCGUCGUCAGUAUACUCCUGAAGAGUUUGCUGAAUCUCUCAUACGCUUCUACAAUAUUUAUUUGAAAGUAAGUAUUAUUUUAAGAAAGAAACCAAACAAACCUAAUUCAUAUGUUAUCUAAAAGUCUAAAACAUAUGGAGAAAUAUUCUAAUGAGAAUUAAUUUUGGAAUAUAAAAUUAUAAAAUUGAAUUGUAUAAUUUCAAUAAAUCUAAAAUCUAUUUUCACACAAAUAUAUACUUAAACCUGAUAUAUAUACACUAAAACAAAUUUCCAGUUGAUACAAAUCGUCAAAAAUUCGUCGGGUUAAAAAAAGAAAAAAAUUUCUAAGAUAUCAUUUUUAGUUUAUUUUCACAAAUAUAGCUCUCAGUGAAGAAAAUAAACAAAAUAAAUUUUAUUAAAAGGUAAAAAUAUAAGUUAUAUAUUUUUACCCUAUGGUUAACAAAUCUAGACUUAAGGUUUAGAAUUAAGGAGUGGAGUUUUGGGGAUAUGGUUUCAAAUUUAAAAAAAAAUAAAAAAUUAAAAUUAAAAUAUUCAAAAUAAAAAGGUUAUUUUGGUCAUUUUCUUUAUUGAAAGCUAUUUUUGUGACAAAAACUUAAAAAAGUUAUUUGAGAGAAUUGCCCUGAAAAUAUCAUUAGUUAAUUAACACUCCCUUAAAUUUGUAUUAAAAACAAUUCCAACGACUCUAUUCAAUGCCAAUAUAAAUAGAUUUCCAUCAAAUUUACGUCAAUUUCUUUUGAAAAGGAUAAAACGAUCUUAUUUUUAAAAAAAAAAAUUAAGGAAAAACUACUAAUCCAUUGGAAAUCGUUUGAAUUUUUUGACAGAAAAAAAUUGAGCGGAAGUUAUGUCCAAAUCCCAUCUUUCUGUAGUGAUAUACUUCUUGUUUCUACCAAAUAUGAAAAAUGUGUGGUUUAUAUGUGUUUUUCUUGUAGCAAUUGUACCUACUAGGAGCGAGGAAGGUGGCUUUGUUCGGAAUCGGUAAGAUUGGGUGUAUACCACGUAUUGUUGCUACCCUUGGUGGUGGUGUUGGCUGUGCAGAAGAAGUGAACCAAGCCGUUGAUCUCUUCAACAAUAAACUUAAAGCCCUAGUCACAGACUUCAACAACAAACUCUCUAGUGCUAAGUUCACUUACGUUGACCUCUUCUCUGGAAAUGCUGAAGACUUCGCCGCUCUUGGUAAUACCAUACUUGAAAAACAAAAAAUGAAACUGUUUAAUCAAGAACUUGUAAUGAUUCAUUUUUGUGAAUAUUGUAGGGAUCACUGUUGGUGAUAGGAGUUGCUGUACGGUUAACCCGGGUGAAGAGCUUUGUGCGCAGAACGGACCGGUUUGUCCUGACCGAACAAAAUACAUAUUUUGGGAUAACGUGCAUACCACGGAAAUUAUUAAUACAGUGAUAGCUAUCGCAGCGUUUAACGGAGACAUAACUUCUCCCUUCAGCAUAUCUCAGCUUGUGAAUUAGCUUAUAAAAUGGACAUGACUUUACUAGUUUAAGCUGUAAACUGGUUUGGUCAUGGAAACCAUAUAUAUAAUAUACAUAUACUAUCAACUGAAAAAUGAAUAAAAGGAUUGUAAUAGUUUCCAGUAACAAUAAUAAUAAUAUUUUCACCUAUCUGAUUGUUCUUAUUUCUUGUAUUUCACGUAAUCGAACUUUACAUGCUGUUCUCUGACGACGUCCUCUGGAUGGUUAACGAGCAUCGAGUGUUCAUCAGCUGAGGUGAUUGCAAACUCAGCUAAUGAGCUCACUGCAGCAGAGCAGACACUCCCUGCCAGACUACUUUAACUGCAAUCUCAGCCAACUUCUCAACAUUCAUCAUCAUCUUCUCCACAUUGUCAGCUUCAACAAGCUCCAUGCUCUCUGGUGUUCCUGAGUAUGGUUCUUCUUUAAGCUGUCGAGCAAAGAUUGAACCCAUCCCAGAGGCAAAGAAGUCGAGAAGGCCUGGCCUGAAAUAUUUUGGGCCGGAAGCCCAAAAAUAAUAAAAGUAACAAAACGUAGUGAACUUUAUAGAAGAAAUAGCUAGUCUGUAAAACGUUAUAAUCAGUGUCAGUUACUUACUAGUAAAUGAGAGACGUUUCAAAGCCACAGCAUACCCUUAAAGAAGCUCAAGAAUCUGUGGAAGCAGUUCUUGGUCGCGAAGAGACUCUAUCCUUUGGGAGAUAGACUCUAUUGAAUGUAUAAAAAAAACUUCAUCUGAUGAUGAAUGUAUAGAUCUGACUAUAAAUCUUGUUUUAUCAACUGAGGAAGAGUCAUCUCCUUUAACAUAUGGUGCCUUAGAGCCAAACAUAUCUUCUCAUAUGCAAUAUAUAUAUAACGAAACUAUUUAUACAUAAGAAAAAUGUGUUGAUUAAAACUGAAGUUAAUUAAGUAGGACAUUAGGACAAUUAAUAAUGUAAGACUUUUUGUAAGAAACACAACACUUGAUAGAGUUUACGAAGUUCAAUAAUGUAUUGGUUGAACUGAAUUAUAUCGAAGUUUUAUUAAAAAUGAUUAUAGGUAUGUUGAUUAUAUUAAAAAUGUCAAUAUAACUCAGAAAUAUUGCGAUAUUAAAGGACACUACUAAAAUUAACUAAAAUCAUUAUAUAUAUGUUAUCACCGGUCAUCAGAUUAUGAAUGGUCGAGGGUUAAAAGUUGACACGGUUAUCAUAUCCUAUUUUUAAGAUUCAUUCACACAUAAUAUGUUUUUAAUAAUUGGUUUUCUACAACUAAUGGUUCUUUUAAUCUAUUAUCAUCCGAUUUAUAUAUCUCCAAAUACAAAUAACUAGUUGCAUCACUAAUAUGAAAAAUCAUCUAUCGAAGUUUAUGCUUACAAGUUGACCCCUAAAAAGGGUUAAUGGUUGCUAAUUAUUUUGUAUUAAGUCGUAAAUGGCCAACUCUAUCAAAACAUUCAACUUGUUUUUCUAUAUUUUACCGCAAAAUGCAAGGCAUUAGUUGACCUUACUGAUCCGUAUUAUUCAGGGAUUCCCUAUUAAAUUAAUUACAUAUAGUCAAAUAAAAAUAUGUGGAGUAUACCUUCUGAAUACGGAAACUGUAACCAUUUUUGUUGGUAUACUAUAUAAUUUUAUUAUUGUUAUUAUAUUUUUAAAAGAGUAUGAAAACAUUUACAAAUGGAGUUAUAGUCCAAGUAUUAGAAGUAUUUAGUUAGUUAUCUAAACUCUAUUUAGGGGAAGAAAGAUAAGCUAUUAGUGGAUGGAGAGAAACAACAAAUUUAGUUGAUAGUUUUGAAGUUACAAUUCAAAGUAUUAAUAGUUAGGUUUCAUUUGCAUUUGGUGGAAAUCUGGCAUACCUUGACCUAACUUUUUGCAUGGACUCGUCGUGCAUGUGUUUAGUUUGGGAGAUUUUGUCUAAGCAUUUUUAGUUUUUUUUUUUCCAUCGAAAGGUUAUUCUAUUAUUCAAACUUGAAGUAGUCUGGUUAAUUAAACCGGAAUAAAACAACCAAUGAAAUAAAAUACUUUAUAGAAAAAUCUCGUAGUCAUAGCUAAAAAAUCUGUGAUGGUCUAAGCAUUUUUAGUUAAAGAGAAGAACUUUUAUUUUAUUUGAGUUGUAUGACAUAUUAACCUUGAAACAUUAUUAUUACUAAUGCAGUAAGCUUUUAGAAUUUUAGAAUUGCAUGUAUAUCCUAAAAGAUUAUUAUAUAUCAACAGUUAUUUUGAAUUUGAAAAUGAAUUUUCUAAAAUUAUUAUAAAUUUCUCAAAGUAUUCUUUGGCAUAAGUGAAAAUAUAUCGUGCUUAAUAAAUAUAUAGUAAACGAGAAUUAGUUUUCUAACCAGUCCACAUCAAGUAGACACGUAUUAAUUCAUGCAAAACAAUGUAUAUAGUUUUCGAAGUCUCCUCUUAAUUCACUCAUGGUUUCAUCCUUUAUAAAUAGUCUUACAGUUUCCUAAUUAUCAAAGCACUUGCAUCGCAUCUAUCUACUAAUCAGAAUUUUCAAAUCUCUUUCAUAUAUAUAAGCCAACCUUUUCUUCAACAUUCUCUUCUCAUUUUCCGUAUAACUCGAUCUUAAAAACAUGGUCGAGGGAGUGUCCAAGGCAUUGUGGAUUGUUGUGGCCACCGUGUUUGCAGUAGCCGCGGCGGUCACACCAGUGGCUUGUGGACAACAAGCACCGUGUUACUUCGUGUUCGGAGACUCUCAAUUCGACAACGGUAACAACAAUGUUUUAAGCACCACUGCAAAGGUCAACUAUUUACCUUAUGGUAUAGAUUUUCCCGAAGGUCCAACCGGUCGGUUUAGCAAUGGACGUAACAUUCCAGACGUUAUCGGUUAGUUUUAAACCGGUUCUCUUUAGCUUAAUUCAGUUCAGUCCAAUUUUUAUUCGAUUAUUACAUGUUUAAUAUUUACCUCUUAUGUAAUUUAAGUUUUCAAAACGUGUUAUACAUAAUACAUAGUAUAUGUUUAUUUUCUUGAUUUUAGUCAAUGAAAACUAGAUCGGAC